UUCGCGUACUCGGCACGGUCGUUAGUCCUCUUCCAACGUAGUACUCCGGGGAACCCGCCCCCCAGGCCUGACCUGGAACCACAAUCCCAGAUCGUCCAGGGUGCCCUGGUCUUGCUGAGAUCCUACAAGGGCGUUAUCACUAACAGCUGGAUUCUGUGAGUCCUUUGCGUUGUACCUGGAAGGCCUAAGGGGCGGUUUGACUUCCAAGUACUUCCGACCCUUCACAAGGUCAACAAGCGACCAAGGGCCUAAAGCGCUCAGCAUUUGAGACGAAGCUCUUGGAGUAGUGGCUGGCUUCCUAUGCCUAAUAUUUUCUCACUGAAGAAUCAUUUUUUUAGUUAUCUUUUGGAAGCCUCUGCUUCCUGAGGUUCUGUCCUGUGGCCAGGCCGCAAGGCCAGCCAUUCCAACUCCCAUGAUCUCCCAGAGGGGACUUGCUGCUGCUUCCAGCAAGAAGAGCAGGUCCACUGCUACCACCUUCGAAAUUCCACUCCCUCAUGUGCUUGACCAAUGAAAAGUGACCUGUGUCCUUUCUGGGCCAACAUUUUAGGAGCUAGAAUCCACCUGGCCAUAUAUACCCCCUUGGCUAAGGGGGAGUCCACCUCUUAGGGAAGUCAAUGAACGCAGCCACCUGCCAACACUCUUGGACACAGAUCGCAGCAGCAGAACCUAGGUUGGCCUGACUGACCAUGCACCACAAGCCUACUUGUCCGACCUGCACAUGGAGAUAGGUUCCUGGCCUUUCCUACUGAGCUCUUAACAACUGUCCUUCCCACUCUCCAGGAUUUGAAGGGGCCAGAUGCAACACUGCACUAAGGAGGUGCUCUGAGUAUCCCACGCAGAGCCAGUGGAGGAAUGUUUCGGGAGCGGGGAGGGGGGUGAAGCAGGCAAAACACCUCUUUCCUAGCACAUAAGAAGCCCCAGAGGCUUCCUCUAGAACAGCAGCAGCCUCUGACUACUUUACCACUCAGACCUCUGAAAAUGGCUGAAAAGGAAUAAAAGGUUGAAGCAGCUCACUGCUCAAGAUCUCUCUGCUGUACAGGCAAUAGGUCCUUCUGAGGAAGACCCUGCAAUGCAGCCACAGUGAACACCAUGAAAACCUCUGCCAGAGGGACCUGCAGCCAUUUGCCAGGUGACCUGGACUAGGGUUUCAGAUACAGGCUCCCAGAGAACCAACAUGCCACUGUGGGCCUCAGAGUCAGGACUUUUGGAGGUCAGGUGAGAGUUCAAGUCCAACUCACUUUGGAUGUGGUGGGAUCACACACCCUCCUUUGGCUUCCCUCCCCCCAUCUCAGAAUAAAUAUGCUUAGUAACUGGUAAAUUC